rnacentral:rRNA from 7 species
CAUGAACAUCGACAUUUCGAACGCACAUUGCGGUCCUCGGAUACUGUUCCUGGACCACACCUGGCUGAGGGUCGUA